UACGAAGGGGGCUAGCGUUGCUCGGAAUCACUGGGCGUAAAGGGCGCGUAGGCGGCGUUUUAAGUCGGGGGUGAAAGCCUGUGGCUCAACCACAGAAUUGCCUUCAAUACUGCAUGGCUUGAGACCGGAAGAGGUAAGUGGAACUGCGAGUGUAGAGGUGAAAUUCGUAGAUAUUCGCAAGAACACCAGUGGCGAAGGCGGCUUACUGGUCCGGUUCUGACGCUGAGGCGCGAAAGCGUGGGGAGCAAACAGG
rnacentral:rRNA from 1 species